rnacentral:pre_miRNA from 1 species
CGCGUCGGUGCUGUGUUCUGUGACUGAUUCGGCUGGCGCCGGACUGGCGGGAGCCCGACGGUCUGUCACGGACCACGAGACCGGCCGCAG